GACGAACGCUGGCGGCGUGCUUAACACAUGCAAGUCGAACGGAAAGGCCCUGCCUUUGUGGGGUGCUCGAGUGGCGAGUGGGUGAGUAACACGUGAGUAACCUGCCCUUGACUUUGGGAUAACUUCAGGAAACUGUGGUUAAUAACGGAUAGGAGCUCCUGCUGCAUGGUGGGGGUUGGAAAGUGUGGGCGGUUGGGGAUGGACUCGCGGGUUAUCAGUUUGUUGGUGGGGUAGUGGCUUACCAAGGGUUCGACGGGUAGCCGGCCUGAGAGGGUGACCGGCCACAGUAGGACUGUGAUACGGGACGGACUACUGCGGGAGGCAGCAGAAGGGAAUAUUGCAUGAUGCGCGGAUGCCGCGUGCAGGAAGACCGCGUGCGGGGUGACGGCCUUCGGGUUGAAAGCCGUUUUCGCCUGUGACGAAGAGUAGGUGACGGUAAUGUGUGAAGAAGCACCGGCUAACUACGUG
rnacentral:rRNA from 1 species